GCUUCUAUAGCUUAGUGGUAGAGCGUUCCCUUCGUAUGCGUCAUACGUGCAAGGGAAAGGUCCCGAGUUCAAUCCUCGGUGGGAGCA
rfam:Chlamydomonas reinhardtii strain CC-503 cw92 mt+ CHLREscaffold_6 genomic scaffold, whole genome shotgun sequence.